rnacentral:rRNA from 1 species
CGGACGGGUGAGUAACACGUGGGUAACCUGCCCUUCAGUGGGGGAUAACAUUUGGAAACAGAUGCUAAUACCGCAUAGAUCCAAGAACCGCAUGGUUCUUGGCUGAAAGAUGGCGUAAGCUAUCGCUUUUGGAUGGACCCGCGGCGUAUUAGCUAGUUGGUGAGGUAAUGGCUCACCAAGGCGAUGAUACGUAGCCGAACUGAGAGGUUGAUCGGCCACAUUGGGACUGAGACACGGCCCAAACUCCUACGGGAGGCAGCAGUAGGGAAUCUUCCACAAUGGACGCAAGUCUGAUGGAGCAACGCCGCGUGAGUGAAGAAGGCUUUCGGGUCGUAAAACUCUGUUGUUGGAGAAGAAUGGUCGGCAGAGUAACUGUUGUCGGCGUGACGGUAUCCAACCAGAAAGCCACGGCUAACUACGUGCCAGCAGCCGCGGUAAUACGUAGGUGGCAAGCGUUAUCCGGAUUUAUUGGGCGUAAAGCGAGCGCAGGCGGUUUUUUAAGUCUGAUGUGAAAGCCCUCGGCUUAACCGAGGAAGCGCAUCGGAAACUGGGAAACUUGAGUGCAGAAGAGGACAGUGGAACUCCAUGUGUAGCGGUGAAAUGCGUAGAUAUAUGGAAGAACACCAGUGGCGAAGGCGGCUGUCUGGUCUGUAACUGACGCUGAGGCUCGAAAGCAUGGGUAGCGAACAGGAUUAGAUACCCU